AAAAGGAUAGCAGCUUUUGAAUCUCCAUCUCCUUAUCAUAUUUGUGCAAGAAAUUAGUGAAUCUUUUCUAAGUUUUGGUCUAGGGUUUCUGUGGCCUGCAACAAUUCACUACUUUCAAUAAUGCACAAAAAUUAUGUUUUCCCUCACUUUUUAUAAGUGUUUUCUUUUUAUGAAGUUGGAGGUGGGGGUAUUACUUUUGCUCAAAGAGAUGUAUGUUCUUGAUCUUUAACCAAAAAGGCCAACUCUUUUGAGUUUCAAUUUAUGUGUUCUGAGUUAUUUUUCUUUUUGGUCGGUUAUUAAAAAAAUUGUCACUUUUUUUUAUAUUGAGUAAGUUUUUAAUGUUACAUUCCCAUUUUACCAUUAUUUAUAAUAUUUUAAAAUAAAAUAAUAUAUUUAAGAUCACAAAAUUUCAGAUUCGAUUAUGAAAUUGAAGGCAGGACAUUGGUUUGCUUAAAGAGAUGUAUAUGCUUUUGAUUCCAAAACCAACAAUUGCAAACUCUUUCGUUCUAUGCAAUAAUUAUGACCUUGAUUCUCUGGUUGGUAAGGUGGAUAGGGUAGACGUGGGUUUUCUUCUUUUUUUUGGUCCGUAAAUCAGAGGGUCCCACUUCCAACCAAAAGGUUGUGAGUUCGAGUCUCCCCAUGAGUAAGGUGGGAAGUUCUUGGAGGGAAGGAUGUUGGGGGUCUAUUUGGAGACAGCCUCUCUACCCAAGGGUAGGGGUAAGAUCUGCGUACACACUACCCUCCCCAGACCCCAC
rnacentral:lncRNA from 1 species